rnacentral:rRNA from 1 species
CAGCAGCCACGGGAAUACGUAGGUGGCAAGCGUUGUCCGGAAUUAUUGGGCGUAAAGGGCUCGCGGGCGGUUUCUUAAGUCUGAUGUGAAAGCCCCCGGCUCAACCGGGGAGGGUCAUAGGAAACUGGGAAACUUGAGUGCAGACGAGGAGAGAGGAAUUCCACGUGUAGCGGUGAAACGCGUAGAGAUGUGGAGGAACACCAGUGGCGAAGGCGACUCUCUGGUCUGUAACUGACGCUGAGGAGCGAAAGCGUGGGGAGCGAACAGGAUUAGAGACCCGCGUAGUCCCUGUCUCUUAUAC